UCAAGCUGGUUCAAUUUAUUGUAUGUUUCUGAGCUUUAUAUUUCUGGGUUUGGUUUUGGUUCUUUACAUGCUAACAGCUAUAAGGAAAACAACAGUGAAAGUUGGUCUCUAUAUGUUGUUGAAGAGUGAAUUUCUGACUGUGGAAACUGCUUCUAGAAAAAGCAAAGGACACAUUGAGAAGAAACAACCAGGUCGCUUCCAUGAACUGCAGCAGAGAAGCCAAAUAACCCAUGCUGUAAGUUAGAGUCAGCAGAGCAAUUUAGUACCCUUGAUGGAUCAAUACCAUUCAACAGACAAGACCACCACAUGACAUGUGCAAGUCAGUCUCUGCCGUCUCCUUUCUACUUCCCCAAACAUAUUACUUCUUUGACAUCUACAAAGACACUCUCUCAAAAGCAAAGACAAUCCAUUAACCUGAGGUCACUAAAGCCUGGAGUUAACACCACCAUGGCAUUUGGGGGUGGUGGAUUAUGCGCCUGCACAAUUCUGAUCUAGGCAACUCUGUGCACAACUAUGUGCUUGAGAUUGUGAACUCUGGCAUUCAUUUUGAAAUAAAUAUGUUUCUAGACUGUAUGGCUUUAAUGUUUUCACACAUUAACACAGCUCCUGAUGACACAUGCAAAUGAAGAACACCUUCCAGGGACAAGGGUUUUAGUAAUAUUAAUUUCAUGCAAUAUAUACACAUUUAUUUGCAGCUCUCCAACUCAUGAUUUCUGAUUUGAACCCUUACUGCUGUAAAGAGGUGUUUUACCUGCAAUAUGUAGACAAUCAAAGCACUUAAAAAUAGUUUUGAGACAGACAAGCAGUGACAAUACACAGUCAAGAGAAGGGAUUUCAGUUUACAGCCUGCAACCUCAAAUGCAUAAUACUUCAGCGUUCCAACAGCAGCACAAGACAAGC